rnacentral:sRNA from 1 species
GUAACAAGGUUUCCGUAGGUGAACCUGCGGAAGGAUCAUUGUCGUUGCCUUCAAACAUGACCUGCGAAUAUGUAACGUAAGCUAUCGGGGAGGUAAUUCCUCCUCGACACAACCGGGCUCGACCCUUUGGUCGUGUACCGGAAUACGGCGCGGAAUGUCGCCAAGGAACACUGAUUUGCUUAGGCAGACGACAUUAUGUCGGUGCUGCAUAGGCCAAAGAAAUAAUAUGACUCUCGGCAACGGAUAUCUCGGCUCUCGCAUCGAUGAAGAACGUAGCGAAAUGCGAUACGUGGUGUGAAUUGCAGAAUCCCGUGAACCAUCGAGUCUUUGAACGCAAGUUGCGCCCGAGGGACCCUCCCGAGGGCACGCCUGCCUGGGCGUUAGAAGCCUAUCAACGCUCGGCCACCUCUGCACAUACCUUGUGGUAGGGGACUGGCCAGAUGUGGACAUUGGCCCUCCGAACUGCAAGCGGUGCGGUGGGCUCAAGUGCAUGGCCGUCGAUGGUGUCGGGAGCGGCGAGUGGUGGGCAACUGCGCACGCCAACCUUGACCCCUGUGUCGACAUAUGGCCCCUUUGGACCCCAAACAAUGAGCUUGCCACUGCAGUGUCUUGCUGUGCGGCACCAUUGGACCGAUACCCCAGGUCAGG